GAACGCAUCUUGCGCUCCUUGGUAUUCUGAGGAGCAUGCCUGUUUGAGUGUCAUUAAAUUCUCAACCACACUGACUUUGAUCGGUGUGGCUUGGAUUUGGGGGGGGAAACUGUUGUGGGCUCUUUUUUGUAGUCAGCUCCCCUGAAAUGCAUUAGCAGAACAACCUGUUCAUUGGCGUGAUAAUUAUCUAUGCUAUUGAAUGUGAGGGCAGUUCAGCUUUCUAACCGUCCUUGGACAAUUCAUCAUUAAUGUGACCUCAAAUCAGGUAGGACUACCCGCUGAACUUAAG
rnacentral:misc_RNA from 1 species